UACGGAGGGUGCAAGCGUUAGUCGGAAUUACUGGGCGUAAAGGGUGCGUAGGCGGGGAUAUAAGUCAGAUGUGAAAAACCAAGGCUCAACCUUGGCAGUGCAUCUGAAACUGUAUUUCUUGAGGGAUAGCGGAGAAAACGGAAUUCCACGUGUAGCGGUGAAAUGCGUAGAUAUGUGGAAGAACACCUGUGGCGAAAGCGGUUUUCUAGCUUUAACCUGACGCUGAGGCACGUAAGCCAGGGGAGCAAACGGG
rnacentral:rRNA from 1 species